rnacentral:rRNA from 1 species
UACGUAGGGGGCAAGCGUUGUUCGGAAUUACUGGGCGUAAAGGGCGCGUAGGCGGCGACUCAAGUUAGAUGUGAAAGUCCUGGGCUUAACCUGGGGACUGCAUUUGAUACUGGGUUGCUUGAAUUCGGGAGAGGAUAGCGGAAUUCCCAGUGUAGAGGUGAAAUUCGUAGAUAUUGGGAAGAACACCGGUGGCGAAGGCGGCUAUCUGGACCGACAUUGACGCUGAGGCGCGAAAGCGUGGGGAGCAAACAGG